rnacentral:misc_RNA from 1 species
AUCCGGGGGAGGGCUCUGAGAG